rnacentral:rRNA from 1 species
CUGGUACAAUGCGAAGCGAAGCAGUGAUGUGAAGCAAAUCGCACCAAAGCCAGUCCCAGUUCGGAUAAGAGGCUGAAACUCGCCUCUUUGAAGUCGGAAUCGCUAGUAAUCGCAGAUCAGCAUGUUGCGGUGAAUACGUUCCCGGGUCUUGUACACACCGCCCGUCAAACCAUGAGAGUCACCAACACCCGAAGUCCGCCUUGGCGGCCUAAGGUGGGGGAGAUGAUUGGGGUUAAGUCGUAACAAGGUAUC